rnacentral:rRNA from 1 species
UACAGGGGGUGCAAACGUUGCUCGGAAUCAUUGGGCGUAAAGCGCACGUAGGCGGUUCGUUAUGUCGGAUGUGAAAGCCCUUGGCUUAACCGAGGAAGUGCAUCCGAAACUGGCGAGCUAGAGUACUAAAGAGGAUCGCGGAAUUCCCGGUGUAGAGGUGAAAUUCGUAGAUAUCGGGAGGAACACCGGUGGCGAAGGCAGCUCGCUGGGACGGUACUGACGCUGAGGCGCGAAAGCGUGGGGAGCGAACAGG